UACGUAGGGUGCGAGCGUUAAUCGGAAUUACUGGGCGUAAAGCGCACGUAGGCGGCUUUGUAAGUUAGAGGUGAAAGCCUGGUGCUCAACACCAGAAUUGCCUUUAAGACUGCAUCGCUUGAACGUCGGAGAGGUGAGUGGAAUUCCGAGUGUAGAGGUGAAAUUCGUAGAUAUUCGGAAGAACACCAGUGGCGAAGGCGGCUCACUGGACGACUGUUGACGCUGAGGUGCGAAAGCGUGGGGGAGCAAACAGG
rnacentral:rRNA from 1 species